AUGAGCUUCGGCCGCGAUCGUCCCGUCCCUCUGCCUCGGACGGCGGCCAAGUCCAGAAAGCCUCUAUCAAACCACCCUACAGGGAGCCACCUGUCUUCAGAUUCAGUUUGUCAAGAUAAUUUACUGGUUAGAGAAGAUGAACAAAACAGUGAACUUCAUGCUUCUUUAAUCAACAAAAAUGAUCAAAAGAAACAACAAGAGGAAAAGAUGAGAAUGAAAUAUGAAUUAGAAGAUCUAAGGGCUCAGUAUGAACAGCUUUUAGAAGAGGGGAGCAGUGAAUGUUUUGAUGAAAGGCGUGUUAAUCUUCUAAAGGCUCAAGUACUACAGCUGGAAAGGCAGGUAGUGCUACUUACAGAAGGAUUAAGUUCUCGAGCUGCUCUUAUGCUGGAAUUAAACACUUCUUUACAGACUAUUGCAGACAAGCUUAGCUCUUUCCUUAGCACUGAAGGAACCACCUCUGAAGUAAGCGUGCCCUGUGCAGAAAUUCGUCAAACAAUUGAGCGGUGCCAGACAAUGAGACUCAAACUACAAAGAAACCAGAAAGUUUCUGAUCUAUCAAGACUUGCAUUGCCUUGGACAUUGGGAGGAAACUUUGUUAUACAGCCAGUUACACUCCUGGAUGUUUGCUAUGGCAAAAUAGAAAAUUUAAAUCUUAGAUAUGUGAGCGCCCUUGAAGGGAAACUUAGCAAGCUGUGGAGACACCUGCUUGCCAUGAGGCAAAAUCUGAGUUUCAUGCUAGCCCCAGGACAGAUGUCCUCUGAGGCAGCUCAUCAUACCCUACCAACUGUUGUUUAUGCUCGGCUGAUAAAUCAUGCAGCUCAGUGUCAUCGGUCUGUGGAGGAAUGCUGCCGUGACUUGUUCACUUUGACACUUCUGGUACCUUCCGCACCUUGGACAUUUGCUUUGCAAGCUGAACUUAAUUUCCAUAGAACUCUGUAUAAUCUCCAAGUUAAGUACACCGAAGCUCUCUUCAGUGGAAUAAAGCAAGCAUACCGCACAUUUCAAGAUAAUGUUGCUAUGGUUCUCUGCUCACCACUACAAGAUGUUUUUUCUUCUUAUGCAAAACUUAAAACAGAAGCUUCUGAGUCUGCUUUGAGAGGCUUUCUUGCUGCUUUCAAAAAUAAUGCUGAACAGAUCCAAUAUGCAGUUGAAAGUUUAACUCCACCGAUGAAUCAGCAGUGUGAAGGUGAUGAGGCCUUGUCAAAGUUUGGAAAAGAGUUCUUCCUGUCUUUGGAACGUGUUCUCAAAGCUUGUGGAGAGCAGCGGGAUAAAGCAGCCAGUGAAAUGGAGACCUUACAAACAGAACUUGAUCAAGCCUUAGAAACUCUUCGGAACUUAAGGGAAAAGAAGGCGAAGAAAUCAGGAAUCAACCAGCAUUUCUCAGCCCAUGAAGAGGGUACAGCAGAAGGGAUGGAAGCAAGUAGCUUGAAUACACAUCCAGUUGCUUGGAAACAAUCCCCGAAGAAGGUUUGUUAUUCAUAGCAUUUCUCAAGCCAGCUAUGGUUCUCCUUAAAUAGUCUCAGCAUCCGAGAAGUUUGAUUGUUCCCCUUGGCUUGCUACCCCAGCUGCAAGCCAUACUCUAGGCUCUCAUGCUUAUGAGUCUAAUAAACCUGCCCAGAAUGACA
ensembl:lncRNA uncharacterized LOC110078761